GUGUUGUAGCUACUAUGUGUGGAGAUUCUUAGUCUUGAGACUCACAGCUGGACACCACUGAAAUCCAGCCCUACUCAGGAAGCCCCACACUGUGUGCAUUUUGCUGGCUUUCAGGUGACCAGUGCCAGAUGCUUCAAAGGGAAUGAUCAGAAGAGCAUCCAAUGAAG